CUCCCGCCCACUCCGUGAAGCAAACGCGAUUCACUCAUCACCAACUAACACUGAUGCAUGUAAUAUUUAUUCCUCGGCUUUCUGCCAGAGAAUUGCAGACCUUCAGACAUGUUGCUGACUCAAAAGGGAUGCUGAUUUGCUAAAUGCCUUCAAGCAAGACCUGGACCUGCUCUGGCUACAGAAGGAAGCACCUUAUAUAAGAGGGGGUCAUGUGUACGAAAGUUGGGAUGUCAUGUUACAACUAUACAAGGCAUUGGCAGGACUUAUUGAAGAGCUGUAGAGGAGGGACCACACACAAAAAGACUGCUUACUGAAGGUUGCCAUCAGGAUCUCUUCGCCCAAAGUCAGCAAGUCCUGUUCGAUCUGCCAUGGCGACCUUCUGGAACACAGUGCAAGUCAUUCCAGUGAAGCCAC